rnacentral:tRNA from 1 species
AGGAUAAUAGUUAAAAAUAACAUUUAAUUUGCACUUAAAAAAUAUUGAUUAUUCAAUUUAUCUUA